UUUACUUAUUUAUUAAUUUAUUAACUUUUUUUGAAAAACAUUUUAAUUCUAUAACAAGACAAAACUGGACCGCAUGUAGCAAAGCAGACACAACAAAAAGAUUAAAGAAUUAAGAUGGGAAGACCCUUUAUCCACUGUAUUCGCCCCAUCGGACUAUCAUUUUUCUCAAUUGUUGAAGCUUCCUUCUUACGAGAGAAAACCUUUGUAACAGCAAAUAAUGUCCGAAUUGUCUUGUCCACAUUUUUCGAAUCAAAGCCGGUUAGUUUCUUCGAGAAAGAAAUAAAAGAAUCAAUAAAUAGGUGGAUGGUUAUUUAUUUUGCAGGGAAAAAAAACCAUUAUAGAUAUUAUAGAAUAAAUAAUAAAUUGUAUUAAUGACUACGUGCUGUUUAUAUUAUUCAUGGAAACGUCAUUACUUUCUGGUUCCCUAAUAUAUAUGUAUCCUUUCUCUCUCUCGCAGGGGAAGAUUUUGUCAAAAUCGCCUUACGGCCAAACCGAUUGUAAAGUUUUCAGAACUAUAAGAGAGACCGGCGCCAGUUCUCGCGUACUUAUGCGUGCAAAUCAGAUUCGAGACUGUCCGUGACGAUAGCUCGCGUCGCUUGCGCGAUUGAAUUUACGGUGUUUUGGAAAAAUUUAAUCUCUUAGAAUUUUUCCGGGACACACACCGGGAAUCUCUCUCUGACGAGCACCUCGAGCGAACUAUGGUUCAUCCUCGGGGCCUUAAUGAAUUAUUCCGCCGCGAGCUCUUAAAUCAUAAGCGAAACUAUCCGAGCGUUUCACGAACGCCGGAAAGCAUAGCCCUUCGAUGCAGCACUGUUCGCACAUGUAUCCACUUCCGUUCGUCCGCGCUUCAGGAUCGAAGAAUUAUUGCAGACGUAAUCGACGCUGCUCGCGGAUACAUCGGCACGGUCGAUACCCAGGUAGAACAUCGUGCAAUCCUGCAACUGCAAUCUUUUUAUCAAUAACAGUAAACCAGCGAAUACCUAUCUAAGCAUUCUCUUUCUGAAAUUCCGCUGAUAAUUAAUUUAAUACGAGAAGGUUGUUGAAAGUAGUUCUCACGGUCCUCACUCUGGGUGUGUUUUAUGCAAAAGAAGUGGAAUGCGGCAUACUCCAGAUGAAAGGGAAAGAAUGAUCGUUCAGUGGUUCAUGUCGGAUUGAAUCCGAUUGGUAGAAAAAAAACUGGAAGGCAUAAAAACAUAAACUGCUCGAUAGGUUAGUUUGUGCUAGAGCUUCAAUUGGAAGAGUUCACACACUGUGUUCGCGAUCAUUUCAUUAUAGUAAAAUUAACGUUUGCUCGGAAAGAUAAACUUUCCGGAACGUACAUAUUACAUGUUCGACGCGGACUUUUGAGAAAUACAAAAAACAAAGCGAUUAAUUAUUCAUUAUUUGCAUCUUUGCGCAAUUGACGCGAAAGCAAGUCAAAAGUCGUGUGUACAUCUAACAAACGCGUGUAAUUGGUUCUCUAAGAGCGUAAAAGCAUGAAAAUUAGACACUAAUCGAGCAGAGAGAGAGAGAGAGAGAGAGAGAGACUUCCUGUAAAUCUGCGAAGCGCAAAUCGCCUCGGGCGGGCGAUAACACGGUGUAAGUAAAGUUGAGCCAAUCAAUCUGACGGUGUAUAUAGUUUUAGAAUGAGACGUGUGCGCAGGGGCGCGUUAUACAUCAGCGGGUGGUCUCGUUGGUCACUUUGCUUCAUCGGAAAAUCGAUGUUCGCCGGCGCUUAUCAUAAUUAUAGCCCGGGCGACUACUUUUCGCAGCGCGGUUCGCGUAUCAAUGCACGGUAUUAUCUUAACGUUAUUGUCUCAGUGAUUUCGAAAGUUUUCAAGACCGCCCGUAACUUUAACGGUUUCUUAAUAAUAGCGGCGCUGCUAUCUGCAAUCCAGUUUGAAAAGGAUAGAUUAAAUUUAAAUACAUUACACGCGCAAACUCUAUUCACGCCGCGAACAAGCGAACACGAUAUUACAUCGUCUAAGUCUCCGAGGUGUCAGCUGAACAUAGUUUUGCGUCUGGAUUUUGUUUGCUUAGAAACAACACACCGGGAAUGCAAAUGUGAAUAAGCACGGCUUCAGUAGCAGCGGUUCGGAUUCCCCCUUUUCUUUUCGUUUCACAAUUCACCAUUGUGCACCUGACUUUGAUACUAGUGCCGCGGCGAGGGACGUGAUAGGAGAGCUUGGAAAACGUGGGUAUCCCUGGAACGAAUUCAUUUGUCACGAUUCGCCGACGUGUAUAUAUAUAUAUAUAUGUACAAUUAUAUACAUAUAUAUACAUAUACAUAUAUGCGUAUCACCGGAAAACCAGGGCGUGCUCUGUAUCAAAGUGUAACAAAGCAGAAACGGGACAGGGAGGCCGUAACCCUCGGUCGUACACACGUAAAACACAGGCCGUACAAGGGGUGAAGUAUAGACACAAGUGAAGACACACCUCUCGCCGCGCCGGCUGUGCCGAAGAUGUCGGUCGCAACAAAACAAUGCAGUGCAUCUGGAACAAUGUGUUUUAUUCGUCGCGACACGACUAUUAUCCUUUCGAAGGAGGUGAAGGCAGAUGGAAAAAUGAGGGAACUCGAAAAAGCCCGUUUCUCAAUUCUCCCACAUUUUACGUAGGGCUUUAACGCAGCUGGACCAUACAUGGUAUCAUAUGCGAGACGCGAGACACACCUACAUAGAAACAAAAUUUCGCAAAUAAUACCAGUAAGCGCAUAUCGUGCUGUAAAUGUUAGCAAUAGUUAAUAUUUGUAUGAAAAUAUUAUUGCUGAAGUAUGAAGUACAUGAAGCAUUAUAAAGGGGGAAGAAUAUGCACAGUUUAACUUGCGUAAGCAUGUAAUGCUGCUAUUUACAAGUAAUUAUAAACUGUUUUAUAUAAACAGACACGUUUUAUAUAAACAUAAAAUAAUAAUUUUCAAACAUUGUAAGUUAGAACAAAUUUAUAUUUUUAAAAAUUUUUCCUUGUUACACAAUAUAUUUAAUUAGUAAAUUUAUAACUUGCGGAUCAGUUUAAUCUCUACGUAUAUGCUUACAGAUUAAUGAGAUUAUUGGAUAAAUGUUUAACGGGAACGCGAGUAUUUAGAUAUAUAAGUCAUUCUUUUACGUCUUGCAGAAUAAAAUAUCAUUUUAAUAAUGAAGAACAGCGCGUUAAAGAUUGGUAAUACAGUUGAACAUUUUGUUUUAUCUUAAUUAUUAUUUUGUUUGCUUGAGCGUUGUGCAAAAUAAUUUGUAGCAAUCACUCGUUUGCGCUUGGAAAAUGUCAAGAUUAUUCAUAGAAAUUUUUCGAGUUGCUAUUUUGGUCGUCUGUCUACCCUGCUCUCUGCUAAUGUAACAUAUGUUCACGUCAGGUAAUUAUGUUUUUAACUAAAGUUUUUAUAACUUCGUAGCGGAGUAUUCACCAUGUCGACGUUGCUGGGGAGUAGCCGAAAAAAAUACGACAUACAUUUACACACAUAUGCAUAUUGGUUUAUUUACCGAAAAAUUUCCAGAAUAAAUAUAUUUAUCUUGACAAAACAUCUUUUAGCCGCUAAUAAUAUUAACAGUCGUUAAAAUUAUUAUAAUUGGAUGAAUUGUGAUAAUUAUUGCGAUAAAUCAUAUCACUUAAGUUAUAUUACAGAAUAUUAGUACGAUUAAUUUAAUGUACAAUGAUUAUUAUGAAAUUGAUGCGAUCGACAAUGUAUGUAUGUAACUUACGUUGGCAAAUAUAUGUAUUAAUUACUAUUAAUUAAUAGAUCUAUUUAGAUCUAUUUAAUUAUAAUGAAAUAAUGUUAGUGAUCAAUACUAGUAUUAUUGUGUUAGCAAAGAAAAUUAUCACUGAGGUAUAUUAUUAAUUGAAACUUGUUAAGAUUCAUGUAAAGCUACUUUUGAGAUAAUAAAAGAUUGUCGAAAAGAACUGAAAGAAUAAAUGAAAAAAUCUCAUUCGAGUGAAAACACAAUUUUAAUAUUUGGACAUGCGGUAAAUAUUAAAUAAAAAAAUAAUAUUUAUUAAAUUAAUCGAAAUGUUAAUAUUAUUUAUUUGUAGUAAGACAUAUAAUUAAAAACUGUGAGCAGUUUUUUAUGUGUCGAUACUUCAAAAAUUUCAAAAAUUUUUAUUAUUAUUAUUAUUGCUCACAUCAUAUUAUUAUUUAAAUUGUAAUUCUGCAAGGACGUUUUCUUCGGUUUUAUUUUUCAAAAUAACAGCGAAUAUUGUCAAUUGAACACGGUGGCUGUGUAAACAUGUAUGCUGAUAAGGGGAAAAUUGCUGUGGAAAUAUAAACAAAUGAAUAAAUUUGUGAAACUUUUAAAAAAUUUUAAUGACAGACACAGAGAAUUCGAAGAAUUUUGUAGCUUUGAAUGCUCGUUGUUUGGUCAAGUUUAUGUACCAGGCCGAAGUAGAAAAAGAAUUAUAAUUAAAAAAUCGUAAAUAUAUACGCGUUUUAUUUAAAAAAUGCGUUAAUAUUAACAUUUUUAUUCUUAAAAAUUAUUUUUAAUCGAUUGCAAAUUAGAGUCAUUGCAAUAAAUAAUUAUCGUUAAAUCACCGUUGCAAGAAAGUAUUAAAACGAUAAUAAUAAAUUGCAAAUUAAUUGAUACUUUUUAGAUUCAAUUCUUAUACAGGUUUAAUUUAAAUAUCUUUUUUUUUUUACUUGAAAAUGUAAUUAUAUAUACGUUAUUUUUAUUUGUUUAUUAACUAGUGCAGUGAUCCUACUAUGAUAAAAACUUAAAUCUGUUUUAUGAAUCGUUUUUAUGUUUUCUUCACGAAGAUCUUCGGAUUACAGGAUUCUUAUGGUAAUGUGAAACCGGGUUUGGAUCGUUGAUUUCUGUUGGCUUGCUACUUCUUUGGGAUUCACCAUCACAGGAAGAAUUAUGCUUAUUCUUGUGAGUAACGUUUUAUCCACUUUUGCGAAAUCGAUCAUCGAAAUUACCAGCUCUGUGCGCCCUCGCGAGUUUACGUAUGUUCGCCUGCGUCCUCCCGCGAUAUUAACCUCGGUACUUGCCAAAGUUGGAAAAUUGCGGGACUGUUCUUCCUUCCGAGAUACAAUCUCGAAUUGUAAUCAGAAUCUGUGACGCGGGACGGAUUACUGUUGAAAACCAAACAUCCCGAAACAGAACUUUAGCUUUCAGAGAGAAGAGAAAUCUUUACAUUGAAAAUGUUAAUUUAUUCAUACAAACACGGUAUUUAUAAGCAUAGAUUUCUGAGAGAGAGUAAAUAGAGAGUUAUUUAUUUAUACAUAUAUGAAUAUUCUUUAAUUCUGAUAGUGAUAUUCAAUUCCCAAUAAUUUUUAAUUAAAGUAUUGCUCGAUAUAAGAAAUUAGUUGCUUUUUUUGUUUAUUUUUAACAAUAUGGGUUAACUUUAACUCUCAGUUUAACAUAUUUAUUAAUCUCUUUCUACUUCUAAGAGUUAGAAAAAAUAAAGGGUAAAUUAAAUAAGGUUUAAAAUUAAUAGAAUUGCUUGAAAUGGAUAGUAAGUUAGUAAAAUUGUUUUGUUCACAACGACAUUCAUAUAAGUGUCGUGGAAAUGUUUAUAUACAUAUAAUAUUUUACUCUCGUAUACGGCGAUUAUUUUGUUCGUUUUAGAAAAAACUAGUUUUAUAAAAGUUUAACAUUUCAUAAUAAGCUUUUCCUACGUAUAACAGAAAUGAUAUUUACGUAUGCCAAACACACUUUUUUUAAACUAACCGCGGUGUGUGUCUUAUUCGCGCAACGUGUGCAUUUAAUUUAUCCGUGUGUACCAUCUUUUUCAGUUGAAUUGUGAAUGUAUAAGUCUCGAGCCUUGAUUUAGGUAUGAAUUUAGAUUGAAAAAUUUGUUGACUACUCGUUAUUACACUUUUUAUUUUGUUAUCUUGUUGUGCAGCUUCGUUAUCGUAUGCUGUGUACCGUAAUCUGGUAAUCUAUUCUCGCAAAAGUAGAAAGGGAAGGAAGGGGAGAGGGGAGACAGAGACGACACAUAACUAAUAUUUUAUGAUAUUUCACUGGCAGAUUAAUUUGCGUUGCGGAAAAAUGACAAACGCAUGCGUAUCGAUUUUCGCACUGUCUGAUAAUCCUGACCUACAUAAUGCCGUUGCAUCGUUUGUCUUUUAUCUGCUACAAAUCCUCAUCAAGAUUUAUUAGUGACGGUGGAAUGUAUUCCCAAACAACGGACGGGAAUGAAUAAUGGUGCGCUGCACGCGCGUAUUAAGCAGGCUAAUGCGUUCUUUUUCACGGGAUACGUGUCGCGGGAUUUGUCUCCGCGGGAACCAACAUCAAAACAACUUAUAUCAUUAACCUCCUGAGACGUGCCCGAUACGACGACAUUUUUAUUUUCUGUAUUAUACUCAUGAUUCAGAGAUAGUAGCGCGAGAUGCGUAAUUUACACUCCAGAAAGAAAGAGAGAGAGAGAGAGAGAGAAAGGGGCAACAGAAAGAAUAGAAAAAAAA
rnacentral:lncRNA from 1 species